rnacentral:rRNA from 1 species
ACAUGUCCGGAACCUUGCAGAGAUGCGAGGGUGCCUUCGGGAAUCGGAACACAGGUGCUGCAUGGCUGUCGUCAGCUCAUGUCGUGAGAUGUUGGGUUAAGUCCCGUAACGAGCGCAACCCUUGUCCUUAGUUACCAGCACCUCGGGUGGGCACUCUAAGGAGACUGCCGGUGACAAACCGGAGGAAGGUGGGGAUGACGUCAAGUCAUCAUGGCCCUUACGGCCAGGGCUACACACGUGCUACAAUGGUCGGUACAGAGGGUUGCCAAGCCGCGAGGUGGAGCUAAUCCCAUAAAACCGAUCGUAGUCCGGAUCGCAGUCUGCAACUCGACUGCGUGAAGUCGGAAUCGCUAGUAAUCGUGAAUCAGAAUGUCACGGUGAAUACGUUCCCGGGCCUUGUACACACCGCCCGUCACACCAUGGGAGUGGGUUGCUCCAGAAGUAGCUAGUCUAACCGCAAGGGGGACGGUUACCACGGAGUGAUUCAUGACUGGGGUGAAGUCGUAACAAGGUCAGCCGUAGGGGAACCUGCGGCAUGUAUCACCUCCGUAAGCUUGGAUUCCCGGGAAUCGAAUUCCCGCGCAC